rnacentral:rRNA from 1 species
UGCGUAGGCGGCGCGGUAAGUCGGGUGUGAAAUCUUGGAGCUUAACUCCGAAACUGCAUUCGAUACUGCCGUGCUUGAGGACUGGAGAGGAGACUGGAAUUUACGGUGUAGCGGUGAAAUGCGUAGAUAUCGUAAGGAAGACCAGUGGCGAAGGCGGGUCUCUGGACAGUUCCUGACGCUGAGGCACGAAGGCCAGGGAGCAAACG